AGUCAACCUCUCCGAGAACCAGCUUUCUGCGCUGCCUGGUGCCACUGCUCCUUAUAUAUUUACAAGAGUGAUGAUAGCUCUUCCUGGCUGAUCCCCUCACAAAUCCCGAAGCUCUCCACUACCUGCUCAAACGCAUCAGGAGAGUGAGUCACAUGGCGUCAUCUCCCUUUGUGAACCAGGGUGGACUGUCGCAUGUUGACAAUAACAUUCCUUUGGUCCCAGCGGAAUGGAUCGAGGAAAGUUCUGGACUUUGAUCACGCAUUUGCAGCUUGUGUGGAACCGG
rnacentral:lncRNA from 1 species